UACGUAGGGGGCAAGCGUUGUCCGGAAUCAUUGGGCGUAAAGCGCGUGUAGGCGGCCCGAUAAGUCCGCUGUGAAAGUCCAGGGCUCAACCCUGGAAUGCCGGUGGAUACUGUCGGGCUCGAGUCCGGAAGAGGCGAGUGGAAUUCCUGGUGUAGCGGUGAAAUGCGCAGAUAUCAAGUAGAACACCAGUGGCGAAGGCGAGUCCCUGGAAAACUCCUGACACUGAGGCACGAAAGCUAGGGGAGCAAACAGG
rnacentral:rRNA from 1 species